GAGUUUGAUCAUGGCUCAGAUUGAACGCUGGCGGCAGGCCUAACACAUGCAAGUCGAGCGGUAGCACAAGAGAGCUUGCUCUCUGGGUGACGAGCGGCGGACGGGUGAGUAAUGUCUGGGAAACUGCCUGAUGGCGGGGGAUAACUAGUGGAAACGGUAGCUAAUACCGCAUAACGUCGCAAGACCAAAGUGGGGGACCUUCGGGCCUCACGCCAUCAGAUGUGCCCAGGUGGGAUUAGCUGGUAGGUGGGGUAACGGCUCACCUAGGCGACGAUCCCUAGCUGGUCUGAGAGGAUGACCAGCCACACUGGAACUGAGACACGGUCCAGACUCCUACGGGAGGCAGCAGUGGGGAAUAUUGCACAAUGGGCGCAAGCCUGAUGCAGCCAUGCCGCGUGUGUGAAGAAGGCCUUCGGGUUGUAAAGCACUUUCAGCGAGGAGGAAGGGUAAUGUGUUAAUAAGACAUUG
rnacentral:rRNA from 1 species